UUUUGUAUCUUGCAGUUUGGCUCGCACUCCACAGAUGUCUAGGGUCGCCCGCCUCUUCCCCUGCCCCUCUUCCUCUCCGCAUGGCCAAGUCCAGCCAGGGUUAGCGCUGACCCCACUGGGGAGGGAGGAGGGCUCUGCCAGAGCUCGGGCCCUCCCACACAGCCGUGGACCAGACCCAGCCUGGCCGGGCAUGAGCGUCGGGCCUGGGCGGCAGCAGCCGAGACCCCUCUGUGGCGGGGGCUCAGUGUCGUCAUGGCUCCCCUGGCCACGGGCCUGUGGUCAUUGCCUGUGACAGGGAUGACAGGGACAGGCCUCCCUGCUCUGGCACGGCCUCUGGUGCUGGCAGGAUCCAGACUGCGGUGCUGACUGCACUUCCUGUCAGGCAGGGUCUCCAGGGCACCUCCAGGACCCAGCCUGGCUGUCUGUCCCAUAGCCCAGGUGUGCCCUGUGGCCUAGGGCUUUCUUGGUCACAGCCACCAGACCGUGGGUCUCAUCCCCACAGCAGCACCAGGACAGGGACUGAGCCACCCACACACUGAGCACAGCCCCACCCGUUUUCCCAGUGCAACGGGAAACCUCACCAACCCUGAAAACUGAAAUCCCUGAUCCUUGUGCUGGAGCUGAAUACGCCCCUUGUCUCCUGGGUCCACUGCCACCAAGGCCUCCAGGCCCUCAUGGCAAAGGGAUGCCCAGCAUAGGCCCAGCCACACCCCUGCAGGGCACAGAGCCUCCACUGCCUUCCAGGCCGUCCUCGAAUGCGCUGCCCCCCUCCAGCCUGUGCAGGCGUACACGGGGGUGCAGCCUGGGGGGUACAGUCAAGGGGAGCCCUUCUCCCACAGGAGGGCAUUGGGGUGUGGGGCCUGGGGCACUGGUUCAGCUACCCCCUUAUCCCGGGCCAGGAAUGAGCUCAGUGACCACUUGGAUGCUAUGGACUCCAACCUGGAUAACCUGCAGACCAUGCUGAGCAGCCACGGCUUCAGCGUGGACACCAGUGCCCUGCUGGACCUGUUCAGCCCCUCGGUGACCGUGCCCGACAUGAGCCUGCCUGACCUUGACAGCAGCCUGGCCAGUGUGCGUAGGCGGGCGGGGGGUGAGGGGGAACGAGACCAGCGGGAGUGCUCACAAUACCGGAAGCAGCUGGUGCACUACACAGCGCAGCCGCUGUUCCUGCUGGACCCCGGCUCCGUGGACACCGGGAGCAACGACCUGCCGGUGCUGUUUGAGCUGGGAGAGGGCUCCUACUUCUCCGAAGGGGACGGCUUCGCCGAGGACCCCACCAUCUCCCUGCUGACAAGCUCGGAGCCUCCCAAAGCCAAGGACCCCACUGUCUCCUAGAGGCCCUGGAGGAGCUGGGCCAGCCGCCCACCCCCAGCCCCAGUGCAGGGCUGGUCUUGGGGAGGCAGGGCAGCCUCGCGGUCUUGGGCACUGGUGGGUCGGCCGCCAUAGCCCCAGUAGGACAAACGGGCUCGGGUCUGGGCAGCACCUCUGGUCAGGAGGGUCACCUUGGCCUGCCAGUCUGCCUUCCCCCAACCCCGUGUCCUGUGGUUUGGUUGGGGCUUCACAGCCACACCUGGACUGACCCUGCAGGUUGUUCAUAGUCAGAAUUGUAUUUUGGAUUUUUACACAACUGUCCCGUUCCCCGCUCCACAGAGAUAUACAGAUAUAUACACACAGUGGAUGGACGGACAAGACAGGCAGAGAUCUAUAAACAGGCUCUAUGC
rnacentral:sRNA from 1 species